AGUCUGCAACUCGACUACAUGAAGCUGGAAUCGCUAGUAAUCGCAGAUCAGAAUGCUGCGGUGAAUACGUUCCCGGGUCCUUGUACACACCGCCCGUCACACCAUGGGAGUCGGAAAUGCCCGAAGCCGGUGACCCAACCAAAAGGAGGGAGCCGUCGAAGGCAGGUCUGAUAACUGGGUGAAGUCGUAACAAGGUAAC
rnacentral:rRNA from 1 species